CAACUGUCAAUAAUAACCUAAUAAGUUCUCAGUGAUUACUUUUCUAACAACCUAUUUCCUUACCCCUACUUAUACCCUUUGUGUGACUAUACCCCACAACCUCUAGCAUGUAAGCUCAUUGGAGCAGGGCCCCCAACCCCUCUUUUUCUGUACGUUCAGUUGUCUGGUUACAAUUACAUGUCUGUUAGACCACCGAUUGUACAGCGCUACAGAAUUUGCUG